rnacentral:rRNA from 1 species
AUUGAACGCUGGCGGCAGGCCUAACACAUGCAAGUCGAACGAGUGGCGGACGGGUGAGUAAUGUCUGGGAAACUGCCUGAUGGAGGGGGAUAACUACUGGAAACGGUAGCUAAUACCGCAUACCAUCGGAUGUGCCCAGAUGGGAUUAGCUAGUAGGUGGGGUAACGGCUCACCUAGGCGACGAUCCCGAGCGGGUCUGAGAGGAUGACCAGCAAAACUGGAACUGAGACACGGUCAAGACUCCGACGGGAGGCAGCAGUGGGGAAUAUUGCACAAUGGGCGCAAGCCUGAUGCAGCCAGGCCGCGUGUAGGAAGAAGGCCGUCGGGUUGUAAAGUACUUGCAGCGGGGAGGCGUUACCCGCAGAAGAAGCACCGGCUAACUCCGUGCCAGCAGCCGCGGUAAUAC